rnacentral:rRNA from 1 species
CAAGACAACUUUACGGAGUUGACGAUUGACGGAGCGAAGCGACGUCAAAGCGUUCAUUAAAGUCGAGUUGGCUUAGGGAUACGUUCGUUGGGUAGGGGAGCGUUCUGUAAGCCUGUGAAGGUGUGUCGUGAGGCAUGCUGGAGGUAUCAGAAGUGCGAAUGCUGACAUAAGUAACGAUAAAGCGGGUGAAAAGCCCGCUCGCCGGAAGACCAAGGGUUCCUGUCCAACGUUAAUCGGGGCAGGGUGAGUCGACCCCUAAGGCGAGGCCGAAAGGCGUAGUCGAUGGGAAACGGGUUAAUAUUCCCGUACUUGGUGUUACUGCGAAGGGGGGACGGAGAAGGCUAUGUUGGCCGGGCGACGGUUGUCCCGGUUUAAGCGUGUAGGUGUGUGUUCCAGGUAAAUCCGGUUCACUUUAACACUGAGGCGUGACGACGAGGCACUACGGUGCUGAAGCAACAAAUGCCCUGCUUCCAGGAAAAGCCUCUAAGCAUCAGGUAACACGAAAUCGUACCCCAAACCGACACAGGUGGUCAGGUAGAGAAUACCAAGGCGCUUGAGAGAACUCGGGUGAAGGAACUAGGCAAAAUGGUGCCGUAACUUCGGGAGAAGGCACGCUGACACGUAGGUGAAGUGAUUUACUCAUGGAGCUGAAGUCAGUCGAAGAUACCAGCUGGCUGCAACUGUUUAUUAAAAACACAGCACUGUGCAAACACGAAAGUGGACGUAUACGGUGUGACGCCUGCCCGGUGCCGGAAGGUUAAUUGAUGGGGUCAGCGCAAGCGAAGCUCCUGAUCGAAGCCCCGGUAAACGGCGGCCGUAACUAUAACGGUCCUAAGGUAGCGAAAUUCCUUGUCGGGUAAGUUCCGACCUGCACGAAUGGCGUAAUGAUGGCCAGGCUGUCUCCACCCGAGACUCAGUGAAAUUGAACUCGCUGUGAAGAUGCAGUGUACCCGCGGCAAGACGGAAAGACCCCGUGAACCUUUACUAUAGCUUGACACUGAACAUUGAGCCUUGAUGUGUAGGAUAGGUGGGAGGCUUUGAAGUGUGGACGCCAGUCUGCAUGGAGCCGACCUUGAAAUACCACCCUUUAAUGUUUGAUGUUCUAACGUGGACCCGUAAUCCGGGUUGCGGACAGUGUCUGGUGGGUAGUUUGACUGGGGCGGUCUCCUCCUAAAGAGUAACGGAGGAGCACGAAGGUUGGCUAAUCCUGGUCGGACAUCAGGAGGUUAGUGCAAUGGCAUAAGCCAGCUUGACUGCGAGCGUGACGGCGCGAGCAGGUGCGAAAGCAGGUCAUAGUGAUCCGGUGGUUCUGAAUGGAAGGGCCAUCGCUCAACGGAUAAAAGGUACUCCGGGGAUAACAGGCUGAUACCGCCCAAGAGUUCAUAUCGACGGCGGUGUUUGGCACCUCGAUGUCGGCUCAUCACAUCCUGGGGCUGAAGUAGGUCCCAAGGGUAUGGCUGUUCGCCAUUUAAAGUGGUACGCGAGCUGGGUUUAGAACGUCGUGAGACAGUUCGGUCCCUAUCUGCCGUGGGCGCUGGAGAACUGAGGGGGGCUGCUCCUAGUACGAGAGGACCGGAGUGGACGCAUCACUGGUGUUCGGGUUGUCAUGCCAAUGGCACUGCCCGGUAGCUAAAUGCGGAAGAGAUAAGUGCUGAAAGCAUCUAAGCACGAAACUUGCCCCGAGAUGAGUUCUCCCUGAGACUUAGAGUCUCCUGAAGGAACGUUG